UACGUAGGGGCAAGCGUUGUUCGGAUUACUGGCGUAAAGGCGCGUAGGCGGCCAGCACAAGUCAGUUGUGAAAUCUCCGGGCUUAACUCGGAAAGGUCAACUGAUACUGUGCGACUAGAGUGCAGAAGGGGCAACUGGAAUUCUCGGUGUAGCGGUGAAAUGCGUAGAUAUCGAGAGGAACACCUGCGGCGAAGGCGGGUGCUGGGCUGACACUGACGCUGAUGCGCGAAAGCCAGGGAGCGAACGGG
rnacentral:rRNA from 1 species